GCAAGGCCAGCAGCGACUGAGAUUGCUCUCAAGUACCUUGGUGAGCUGCAACAGAUCGUACAGAGCUGGGAGACAAAAAAACCAUGGCUUCCAAAGAGCGGAAUAGAUGAGGUUCUAAGUGAUGCUGACAAGUUAAGAAGUUGGCUGGAUGAGAAGGAGGCUGAGCAGAAGAAGACGUCAGAAUUUAGCACACCUGCGUUCACGUCAGAAGAACUUUACAUGAAGGUGUUCAAUCUUCAAGAUAA
rnacentral:misc_RNA from 1 species